CAACAACAACCACAACCACAACCUCAUAACCAAAAACAACCACCAAUGUACAGUACGUAACACUAACACACUACCAAAACCUGCCCAUCCACACGCUACCCCUCCCUCCCCCCCUCACGUGCUAGACUAUAUAAGACCAGCCACUCCCAGAACCUCGCCAGAAACAUCUUGGAUUCCUACAGAUACACAACAAUGCGUAAUCUCGUCAUUCUCAUGUUGCUGGUGGUGGUGAUGGUUGGGGUAGCUUGGGCCUACCCAUCUAACCUACCCGCCAGUGUGACGGCCGUGGACUGCCCUACCUAUCCCUUCUACCCCUGCCGAGUGCCUGCACAUCCUCCUCAGCCCGCCAACCCUGCUGGCGUCAAGUGCUACAACUACCCCUACUACGCCUGCUAGCUUCCUCCAGCCUCCUACCAUCAAUAUUUACGUCAGCCUCUUCUCAUCCUGCUAUUCUUUCCUGCCUGUAAUGAGCUAUGUGGGUUCUUGUGUUUCUAGCUCCUAUUUGGGUGGUCCUUCACUCUCUUAAGCCACGUAUGGGUGGCGCCGCAUACCUUGAGCCAUUUUUAAGGUGGUGUAUCUAUCGUCCUUAUAGUUGGUGAAUGUUGUGUUUUACGCAUCCGUCUCCAUAGUGAUCUUGUUUACCUUAAGUCGCAUAAAACUUUGCGAUCCAAUCCCCCAUCUUCUAGUCUCAGCUGUACGUCCGUUUACUCCACUAGUAAUAUCUCUUUGUCAACCCCUGCCACGAUUACUAGAAUCAGCCGACCUCUUCUUCGUCACGUCAGCAGCUGUGAGGCCUUCAGAUCAUCUUCAUCUCUGAACAAUGGCCUCCUCGACAGUUCGUGCACAGCUCCAAGGUCCAGGAAUAUCGACCCCUGAACUAGUGUCCCCCAGCAAGAAGUAAACAAAGUGACGACGUCCUCUUCCUCAGCGUUCUUCACCACUUCCUACAAACACGAAACUUGGCCUAUAAAACCUUCUUGUAUCAGCCUCAUCCAUAAUACUCCAAGAGAACCAAUUUGUCACCACCAGCGCCUCUCUUCUUCAGCGUUGUGACCCAUAUUCGUCCUCACUAAUGUCAUUUCAUCGGCCCAGCAGCAAGUCGAGAUGAUGACCCCAUGUACAUUCUACCUAUACGUUGUUGCUGUCACGUGUUUAUGUUAGGUUAAACAUUGGAUGCUACUUUUUAUAGACGAAGAUCCACAAUAGAUCUUUUACCAUCAAACAGAGGUUGUUGUUGUUUGUAUUCUGGCGAUUAUAAAAUAUGUAUUGGAUUUUUAUAUAUAAUCCUUAUAAAGUUGACACUGUAUAUAUACAAAAUAAAAAAUAAAUCCA